GACGAACGCUGGCGGCGUGCUUAACACAUGCAAGUCGAACGGAAAGGCCCUGCUUUUGUGGGGUGCUCGAGUGGCGAACGGGUGAGUAACACGUGAGUAACCUGCCCUUGACUUUGGGAUAACUUCAGGAAACUGGGGCUAAUACCGGAUAGGAGCUCCUGCUGCAUGGUGGGGGUUGGAAAGUUUCGGCGGUUGGGGAUGGACUCGCGGCUUAUCAGCUUGUUGGUGGGGUAGUGGCUUACCAAGGCUUUGACGGGUAGCCGGCCUGAGAGGGUGACCGGCCACCAUGGGACUGAGAUACGGCCCAGACUCCUACGGGAGGCAGCAGGGGGGAAUAUUGCACAAUGGGCGGAAGCCUGAUGCAGCAACGCCGCGUGCGGGAUGACGGCCUUCGGGUUGGAAACCGCUUUCGCCUGUGACGAAGCGUGAGUGACGGUAAUGGGUAAAGAAGCACCGGCUAACUACGUG
rnacentral:rRNA from 1 species